AUUGAACGCUGGCGGCAGGCUUAACACAUGCAAGUCGAGCGAGCGGCGGACGGGUGAGUAAUGUCUGGGAAACUGCCUGAUGGAGGGGGAUAACUACUGGAAACGGUAGCUAAUACCGCAUACCAUCAGAUGUGCCCCGAUGGGAUUAGCUAGUGGGUGGGGUAAUGGCUCACCUAGGCGACGAUCCCUAGCUGGUCUGAGAGGAUGACAGGACACCUGGGAGUGGAGACACGGCCCAGACUCCGACGGAAGGCAGCAGUGGGGAAUUUUGUGCAAUGGGCGCAAGCCUGAUACAGCCAUGCCGCGUGUGUGAAGAAGGCAUUCGGGUUGUAAAGCACUUGCAGCGAGGAGGCGUUACUCGCAGAAGAAGCACCGGCUAAAUCCGUGCCAGCAGCCGCGGUAAUAC
rnacentral:rRNA from 1 species